rnacentral:lncRNA from 1 species
CAGCCGCGCCCCCUCCCUCGCGGGCAGCUCUCCCUGGCCGGGGUCUGGCUCUCCGGGACCGCUGCCCUCACGCGCCGCAGACGGGACCCUCCGGGUGUCUUCAUGGGAGGCGACACCGGCACAAGCCCCGCGUGGACACUGUGGCCCACGGGCGCGGCAGAACCUCGUCCCGAGGCGGUUUGUGGGGGGUCGCACGUCUGCGUGGCUGCUUCUGGCUGCGCCGGCGGUGGGUGGGGAGGGGGCCAGUCCCUGCAGCUGUCAGGAGAGAGACCCCCACCAGCGGCUGCUUCCAAAACCCUCCUGCCUUCGCGGGAGCUGGGGCCAGGCGACUUUGGGAGCAAGUCCUGAUCCCUGGGGACCCUCGACGGGGGCGGGGAGAGGAAAAGCAGGUGGGGGCUGCGCCGCAGGCCGCAGUUCUGACUCUCCACACCUCUCAUGGCCCCAGGCCCGCCCUCCACACCCCUAGGAUCUGGGAAAGGGAAGGCCUCACACUCUCCUGCCUUGGAUCUUUUGAACAUAAAGUUGCGCUGCCAUUUCCUGAAGCUGCUCACAAACUUUAAUCAUUGUUGUGUCAGUUAUUCACUUCUGGGCUCGCGAUGUCGCUGACAGCACAGUGUCAACCCCUCGUGAAAACACUUAAAAAUGGCGAAGCUGUCCCCGAGGCUGCGUGCUUCUGGAUGAAGGGCCCUGGCCGCACAGGGGCAGGUGGAGGAAAGUGCAGAGAGGGAUUUGCUUCGGAAUUUCCAGCCCAAUCCCUACUGUGGGAAGUGGAAGAAUGAGGCUGGUUCCAGUUUGCUUGCUUUAUUUAUGUUAUGUUAUGUUAUGUUAUGUUAUGUUAUGUUAUGUUAUGUUAUGUUAUGUUAUUUUUCGAGAUGGAAUCUGGCUCUGUUACCCAGGCUGGAGCACAAUCUCGGCUCACUGCAACUUCUGCCUCCCAGGUUCAAGCAAGUCUCCUGCCACAGCUUCCCGAGUAGGUGGGAUUACAGGCACCUGCCACCACGCUCGGUUAUUUUUUUGUAUCUUUAGUACAGACGGAAUUUCACCAUGUUGGCCAGGCUGGUCUCGAACUCCUGACCCCGUGAUCCGCCCGCCUCGGCCUCCCAAAGUGCUGGGAUUACAGGCGUGAGCCACUGCACCCAGCCCUAGCCUGCUUUCUUAAAUCAAGGAACGGGGCUCUAACAAGCCCAACAGGUCUCAACUCCAAGGCCCCCUUCCCGGCUGCUCACUGGCCCCUGCCGAGAGGGGUCCUUUGGGUACAGAAGCACUGACCUCCCUGUGUUCCCGGGGUUCCUGUCCGAGCCUGUGCUCUGCACACGUGCCCCUUCCCACGUGUCCCUUCCAUGGAUUAAUUUAGGAGUUAAUUCAUGAAGAGGUGCCCAGAGCUUGGCCCGGCCCCCGGUGAGAGGCAUUAUUUUUAUUCUUCCCCCUCCAGAACAGGGGUCUUGUCCGUCUUCUCCUUGGUGGUGUAUUGGAUGAAGUAGGUGCUCAGCAAAUGUAGGAGGAGGUGCAGACUCCACAUCUGCAAAGUCCAUGCACCCACUGCGGCCAGCACGCCAUCACUGCCUCCGGACAGUGCCCCGCCCUCCCUGUCUUUCCUUCCUGAGCUUUGGAACUAAGCAGUGAGAGUGGUUCAUGGUCGCAAUCCCUUCAAUAUCUGCGAAGAGCUUAUCUGAGGAUAUCUUGGUGCUGAUCACCUCUGAGAAGCAGCGUUGAUCUUGACUCACUGGAUCCGAUUCAUUCAGGAUAAGCCACACCCUAUUGCCAUUUUCUUCACGCUCCUCUAUUAUCUGGGGCAUAAAAUUAACAUUCAAUUUUCUUCUUUUUCUUUUAAGAGACAAGGUCUUGCUCUGUGGCCCAGGCUGGAGUGCAGUGGCACGAUCUCAGCUCACUGUAGCCUCCACCUCCCGGGUUCAAGGGAUCCUUGCACCUCAGCUUCUGGAGGAGCUGGGACCACAGAGGUUUCUGCAAGGUUUGAAGUCUGCACACUUCAUUUCCAUUCUUUAUUGUUCC